rnacentral:lncRNA from 10 species
AUCUAUUUGAUUCUUCUCUCUUUUCUUCUUUAUUAGUCUUGCUAGCAGCCUAUCAAUUUUGUUGAUCCUUUCAAAAAACCAGCUCCUGGAUUCAUUAAUUUUUUGAAGGGUUUUUUGUGUCUCUAUUUCCUUCAGUUCUGCUCUGAUUUUAGUUAUUUCUUGCCUUCUGCUAGCUUUUGAAUGUGUUUGCUCUUGCUUUUCUAAUUCUUUUAAUUGUGAUGUUAGGGUGUCAAUUUUAGAUCUUUCCUGCUUCCUCUUGUGGGCAUUUAGUGCUACAAAUUUCCCUCUACACACUGCUUUGAAUGUGUCCCAGAGAUUCUGGUAUGUUGUGUCUUUGUCCUCGUUGGUUUCAAAGAACAUCUUUAUUUCUGCCUUCAUUUCAUUAUUUACCCAGUAGUCGUUCAGGAGCAGGUUGUUCAGUUUCCAUGUAGUUGAGCAGUUUUGAGUGAGUUUCUUAAUCCUGGGUUCUAGUUUGAUUGCACUGUGGUCUGAGAGACAGUUUGUUAUAAUUUCUGUUCUUUUACAUUUGCUGAGGAGUGCUUUACUUCCAACUAUGUGGUCAAUUUUGGAGUAGGCAUGGUGUGGUGAUGAAAAGAAUGUAUAUUCUGUUGAUUUGGGGUGGAGAGGUCUGUAGAUGUCUAUUAGGUCUGCUUGGUGCAGAGCUGAGUUCAAUUCCUGGGUAUCCUUGUUAACUUUCUGUCUCGUUUGAUCUGUCUAAUGUUGACAGUGGGGUGUUAAAGUCUCCCAUUAUUAUUGUGUGGGAGUCUAAGUCUCUUUGUAGGUCACUAAGGACUUGCUUUAUGAAUCUGGGUGCUCCUGUAUUGGUUGCAUAUAUAUUUAGGACAGUUAGCUCUUCUUGUUGAAUUGAUCCCUUUACCAUUAUGUAAUGGCCUUCUUUGUCUCUUUUGAUCUUUGUUGGUUUAAAGUCUGUUUUAUCAGAGACUAGGAUUGCAACCCCUGCCUUUUUUUGUUUUCCAUUUGCUUGGUAGAUCUUCCUCCAUCCCUUUAUUUUGAGCCUAUAUGUGUCUCUGCAUGUGAGAUGGGUUUCCUGAAUACAGCACACUGAUGGGUCUUGACUCUUUAUCCAAUUUGCCAGUCUGUGUCAUUUAAUUGCAGCAUUUAGCCCAUUUACAUUUAAAGUUAAUAUUGUUAUGUGUGAAUUUGAUCCUGUCAUUAUGAUGUUAGCUUGUUAUUUUGCUCGUUAGUUGAUGCAGUUUCUUCCUAGCCUUGAUGGUCUUUACAGUUUGGCAUGUUUUUGCAGUGGCUGGUACUGGUUGUUCCUUUCCAUGUUUAGUGCU